GAUGAACGCUGGCGGCGUGCCUAAUACAUGCAAGUCGAGCGAACAGACGAGGAGCUUGCUCCUCUGACGUUAGCGGCGGACGGGUGAGUAACACGUGGAUAACCUACCUAUAAGACUGGGAUAACUUCGGGAAACCGGAGCUAAUACCGGAUAAUAUAUUGAACCGCAUGGUUCAAUAGUGAAAGACGGUUUUGCUGUCACUUAUAGAUGGAUCCGCGCCGUAUUAGCUAGUUGGUAAGGUAACGGCUUACCAAGGCGACGAUGCGUAGCCGACCUGAGAGGGUGAUCGGCCACACUGGAACUGAGACACGGUCCAGACUCCUACGGGAGGCAGCAGUAGGGAAUCUUCCGCAAAGGGCGAAAGCUUGACGGAGCAACGCCGCGUGAGUGAUGAAGGUCUUCGGAUCGUAAAACUCUGUUAUUAGGGAAGAACAAAUGUGUAAGUAACUAUGCACGUCUUGACGGUACCUAAUCAGAAAGCCACGGCUAACUACGUG
rnacentral:rRNA from 1 species